GCCCGGCUAGCUCAAUCGGUAGAGCGUGAGACUCUUAAUCUCAAGGCUGUGGGUUCGACCCCCACGUCGGGCU
rfam:Magnaporthe oryzae 70-15 chromosome 5, whole genome shotgun sequence.